GGCGGUCGCCGGGUGGGAAGCUGACCGCCGGCGGUUGCCGGCCGCCGGACCGCACCGGAUAAUCGUUCCAGCCGGGCAUGCCGCCA
rnacentral:tRNA from 1 species